CAGUCGCCACGGGAAUACGUAGGGUGCAAGCGUUAAUCGGAAUUACUGGGCGUAAAGCGUGCGCAGGCGGUUAUAUAAGACAGAUGUGAAAUCCCCGGGCUCAACCUGGGAACUGCAUUUGUGACUGUAUAGCUAGAGUACGGCAGAGGGGGAUGGAAUUCCGCGUGUAGCAGUGAAAUGCGUAGAUAUGCGGAGGAACACCGAUGGCGAAGGCAAUCCCCUGGGCCUGUACUGACGCUCAUGCAUGAAAGCGUGGGGAGCAAACAGGAUUAGAUACCCCAGUAGUCCCUGUCUCUUAUAC
rnacentral:rRNA from 1 species